CACAUACUCCCUAUGUCCCAAAAUUCUUGUCUUAGAUUUAUCAAAAUAUAAAUGUAUCUAGUCAUGUUUUAGUAUUAGAUACAUCCGCAUCUAGACAAAUCUUAGACAAGAAUUUUGGGACGGAGGUAGUAUUUA
rfam:Hordeum vulgare subsp. vulgare, WGS project CAJW01000000 data, contig: morex_contig_44812